rnacentral:rRNA from 1 species
GAUGAACGCUGGCGGCGUGCCUAACACAUGCAAGUCGAGCGAUUUACUUCGGUAAAGAGCGGCGGACGGGUGAGUAACGCGUGGGUAACCUGCCCUGUACACACGGAUAACAUACCGAAAGGUAUGCUAAUACGAGAUAAUAUGCUUUUAUCGCAUGGUAGAAGUAUCAAAGCUUUUGCGGUACAGGAUGGACCCGCGUCUGAUUAGCUAGUUGGUGAGGUAACGGCUCACCAAGGCGACGAUCAGUAGCCGACCUGAGAGGGUGAUCGGCCACAUUGGAACUAGGACACGGUCCAAACUCCUACGGGAGGCAGCAGUGGGGAAUAUUGCACAAUGGGCGAAAGCCUGAUGCAGCAACGCCGCGUGAGCGAUGAAGGCCUUCGGGUCGUAAAGCUCUGUCCUCAAGGAAGAUAAUGACGGUACUUGAGGAGGAAGCCCCGGCUAACUACGUG